rnacentral:rRNA from 1 species
UACGUAGGGUGCAAGCGUUGUCCGGAAUUAUUGGGCGUAAAGAGCUCGUAGGCGGUCUGUCACGUCGGCUGUGAAAACCCGAGGCUCAACCUCGGGCCUGCAGUCGAUACGGGCAGACUAGAGUUCGGUAGGGGAGACUGGAAUUCCUGGUGUAGCGGUGAAAUGCGCAGAGUAUCAGGAGGAACACCGGUGGCGAAGGCGGGUCUCUGGGCCGAAACUGACGCUGAGGAGCGAAAGCGUGGGGAGCGAACAGG